rnacentral:lncRNA from 1 species
CUCUUCAAGACAAAAGAGACUUUGUGUGGAAGAUUCAUGAGAUUUGAAAAUUAUAAAUAAAGGAGCAUUUAGUCUUAGGACAAGCUUUUAGUUCUAGUUAGUUUUAAAGAGGGAGAGAGUUUUGGAACAAAAGGAAGAAACAAAAAAGGUUGUGUCUUGCCCUUUGAGGCAAGACACAAACCCAUCACAUUUGUGGCUUUCUUCUUCAUUUCUUUUAGUUUAUAGGACUAGUUUAGGUCUUGUGUUAUACAUCCAUUCUUGUAAAAGCUCAAUAAGGAAAAAGAUUGGGAUGUAAAAGGGGCACUCUGGGAGGCUCUAAUGACAAGGGUUAUCCUCCUCUCUAAACUCUUUAUCUUGUAUUUACUUCAAUGUUUAGUGAAUUUUUUAGUUUGGAUAUUAUGUUGAUGUAGUAGUUUUAAAAUUUAUGCCUUGGGUAUUUGGAUGAAUUAUUUAUGAUUGCUAUUUGUUAA